ACUUCUUUAUCACCGAGUGCUUGCACUCACCGAUAAAGAGUUGAGUGGCGAACGGGUGAGUAACACGUGGGCAACCUGCCCAAAAGAGGGGGAUAACACUUGGAAACAGGUGCUAAUACCGCAUAACCAUAGUUACCGCAUGGUAACUAUGUAAAAGGUGGCUAUGCUACCGCUUUUGGAUGGGCCCGCGGCGCAUUAGCUAGUUGGUGGGGUAAAGGCUUACCAAGGCAAUGAUGCGUAGCCGAACUGAGAGGUUGAUCGGCCACAUUGGGACUGAGACACGGCCCAAACUCCUACGGGAGGCAGCAGUAGGGAAUCUUCCACAAUGGGCGAAAGCCUGAUGGAGCAACGCCGCGUGGGUGAAGAAGGUCUUCGGAUCGUAAAACCCUGUUGUUAGAGAAGAAAGUGCGUGAGAGUAACUGUUCACGUUUCGACGGUAUCUAACCAGAAAGCCACGGCUAACUACGUGCCAGCAGCCGCGGUAAUACGUAGGUGGCAAGCGUUAUCCGGAUUUAUUGGGCGUAAAGGGAACGCAGGCGGUCUUUUAAGUCUGAUGUGAAAGCCUUCGGCUUAACCGGAGUAGUGCAUUGGAAACUGGGAGACUUGAGUGCAGAAGAGGAGAGUGGAACUCCAUGUGUAGCGGUGAAAUGCGUAGAUAUAUGGAAGAACACCAGUGGCGAAAGCGGCUCUCUGGUCUGUAACUGACGCUGAGGUUCGAAAGCGUGGGUAGCAAACAGGAUUAGAUACCCUGUAGUCCACGCCGUAAACGAUGAAUGCUAAGUGUUGGAGGGUUUCCGCCCUUCAGUGCUGC
rnacentral:rRNA from 1 species